UGAUAAAUCAGUAGCACCAUUGCCUUUUCUACAAAAGGCUGUCUUAGAAGAAACAUUUAUGAAUGGUUUGAAACCAUGGAUUAAGGCAGACAUGGAAUGUUGGGAACCUAUGGGGCUUGCUCAAAUGAUUAAGUUGGCCCAAAAGAUUGAGAACCGAGAAGUGAUAAGGGGAGAAUCAAGUUUCAAACGUGCAGCGGAUGGA
rnacentral:lncRNA from 1 species